UGAUAUUUAGGCCACGAUUCAUUUAAUUUUCCAUAUAGUUUUUCCGAGGUUCCACUAUAAACACCAAAAUCUAUUUAUAGGACUUUCUAGUUGUGUAUCAUCAACCUCCAACUACACUCACUUUUUUACUGCAUUCCUUUUCUUUUUUUUUUCUUUAGUUAGUGAGAGGAUUUGAGGAUUGAAUUUGAAUUCCUAAUCAUGCGCUCUUGUUAAAAGCGAAGAUUUUUUAAAUUAUGUCAUAGAGCUUGUGAGUUGUGAUAUUUUAAAAAAAGUUUAUUGUCAAACAAUACAACGUUUACUUGAAUUUGCUUGUUUCACAUCUAAGUAUAUGUUGAAAAUUUGUAAUCACAACAUCGCUUUUUGAUUCUAC
rnacentral:lncRNA from 1 species